rnacentral:tRNA from 1 species
UAUAAGGUGGCUGAAUGUAGGUAUUAGUUUGUAAAACUAACAAUGAAGUUUUUCUUCUCUUAUAA